UAGGUGAACCUGCGGAAGGAUCAUUGUUGAGAUAUAAAUGACUUGAGAACUUGUUAAUCAUAUGUCAUCCUGCCAACACGGAUGCCAACUAAGGAGGGCGCGCUCUUCGAUUGGCAUGUUUGUUGGGUGGGCAUAGCCAUGCCACCGCACCUUGAUGGAUGUCGGGGUUGGCAACUGAUUAUGGGCACGGCAUGUGUCAAGGAAGUAAAUUUUGCUCAUUGCGGUGUGUGUCAUUGGCUUGGGGUCUGCAAUGCCCUCAAUCCAAAGAAUGCCCGCGGUGGCAUGAUAGUUGGUAUAUGUUAAAAAAAAUGACCCUCGGCAAUGGAUAUCUAGGCUCUUGCAUCGAUGAAGAACGUAGUGAAAUGCGAUACUUGGUGUGAAUUGCAGAAUCCCGUGAGCCAUCGAGUCUUUGAACGCAAGUAGCGCCCGAGACCUCUCGGUCGCGGGCACGCCUGCCUGGGAGUCACACCUUAUGUUGCUCCAUCCAACACAUCCGUGUUUUAGAUGGAAGCGAAGUUUGGUUCACCGUGCUUUUGACAGUGUCGGUGAGCUGAAGUAUGGUGACGAUGACGAAGUAGCGAGUACACACGACAUGUGGUGGGCAGAAAAUGCUUCUGAUGUGGCCGAUGUCGUUCUCUCCUCGUCAUACGCUAGCACCGUGUGUGCCGGGGGGAUCGUUGGAUGCCGAUGCGGUGUUCCCCCCUUGAUAGCGACCCCAGGUCAGGCGAUUCCCANG
rnacentral:rRNA from 1 species